rnacentral:ncRNA from 16 species
CAACGGAAUCCCAAAAGCAGCU